rnacentral:snRNA from 1 species
AUACUUACCUGGCAGGGGAGAUACCAUGAUCAUGAAGGUGGUUUUUCCAGGGCAAGCCUUAUCCAUUGCACUCUGGAUGUGCUGACCCCUGCGAUGUCCCCAAAUGUGGGAAACUCGACUGCAUGAUUUGUGAUAGUGAGGCACUGCAGUCACA